AUCUUGUUGGUGUAAAGCACAGAAGAUUUUGAUUCUUCAGGAGAGAAUCCUCAUAAGAUA
rnacentral:tRNA from 1 species